GAUGAACGCUGGCGGCGUGCCUAAUACAUGCAAGUCGAGCGAAUGGAUUAAGAGCUCGCUCUUAUGAAGUUAGCGGCGGACGGGUGAGUAACACGUGGGUAACCUGCCCAUAAGACUGGGAUAACUCCGGGAAACCAGGGCUAAUACCGGAUAACAUUUUGAACCGCAUGGUUCGAAGGUGAAAGGCGGCUUCGGCUGUCACUUAUGGAUGGACCCGCGUUGCAUUAGCUAGUUGGUGAGGUAACGGGUCACCAAGGCAACGAUGCGUAGCCGACCUGAGAGGGUGAUCGGCCACACUGGGACUGAGACACGGCCCAGACUCCUACGGGAGGCAGCAGUAGGGAAUCUUCCGCAAUGGACGAAAGUCUGACGGAGCAACGCCGCGUGAGUGAUGAAGGCUUUCGGGUCGUAAAACUCUGUUGUUAGGGAAGAACAAGUGCUAGUUGAAUAAGCUGACACCUUGACGGUACCUAACCAGAAAGCCACGGCUAACUACGUGCCAGCAGCCGCCGUAA
rnacentral:rRNA from 1 species